rnacentral:tRNA from 1 species
ACUUAAAUAUUAUAAAUAAUUAUAUUUAAUUUCCAAUUAAAAAAUCUAGAAAAUAACUAGCUUAAGUA